ensembl:lncRNA
GGUUCAUCGCGGGCUGAAACGCCACAGGUCCAAGUCCUUGUUCCAGUAAGUUCCAAACAUUUUUAUAAUGUGUUUUGACUCCUAAAGACAGCGAUCUAAUUCUCACAAAUCACAUGUAAAAUGACAAUACCUUUUAACAAUAUCUAUCCUGGUUAAAUAAAGGUCAAUAACAAAAAAAAAAAUAACAUGCACUGUCCUGAUGAAAUAAACCAAUAACGAAUAAUAAUUAAAAAAAAAAAUGGAUUUAAUGUAUUGCAUCAUUUAGGAUUUCACAUUUACAUAAGCUAACCUUCCAAAUGCAACUGUUUCAGUACUUCCAGUUUUAAAUAUUUCUUUUAAAAAUAAUAUGUUUUUGUUUUAUGAAGGAUGAAGCUGAUGCAGUAUCAUCCACCACCACCCUCAAUGUCACCAGAUCUGCUGCAGCUCUUGCUCUCAGUGUCCGUGAACAGUGCCACUUGUCACAAAGAACAGUAAACAGCAUCAUCUCGGAGGUUCAACAGUAUCAAGCUGUUCUCAUCAAUGCGCUCAAGGAAAGAAUGAGGAGAGUCUUUGAGGAGCACCCUGAGAGAAGCCCUCAACUUCAAGAUGAAGCGUUGUCCGUACUGGAUACUUUUGUGGAUCCUUUCUCGGCCAACGCAUAUGGACAAAACAAGACUUACCGUGAAAUCUUCGAUCCAGUGACCCCAGUGGAAGUUGUAGUCUCCCAGAAGAUUUGUUGGGUUAAGCGAGGUGGUGCAAGGAUUAUGUCACUCAAAAACAGCAGUUUUUACUAUGUACCUUUGAUUCAGAGUCUAAAGCAGUUAUUGAGCAAUUCCAGAAUUUUCACCAUGUUGAAUAGAAUACCGCCAAGAAGCAGAGAAGGAUUUUUGUAUGACUUUAGUGACGGGGCCCUCUUUGCAUCACAUCCUUUAUUUUCUGAAAGACCAAAUUCAUUGCAAAUUGUGCUCUACACAGAUGAAAUUGAAAUAUGUAACCCAUUAGGGCCUCAUGCAUCUGCAAAUAAACUGCUGAUGUUCUACUAUAGUUUAGGCAAUAUUGAUCCAAAAUGUAGGUCCAUUUGGCUGCUAUACGACUCCUUGCAAUUGCUAAGUCCAGGGAUAUUUCACUGUGGGGCGUUGAUGUUGUACUGAAAAGACUUCUUCAAGACCUUACUCAACUUUAUGAUGGUGUGAGGAUUGAAACACCAAAUGGUGAAACUGAUUUGUUUGGUGCUGUAAUAGCCUUAUGCGGUGACACACUGGCGCAACAUGAACUUGCUGGAUUUAAAGAAGGUGUUGGAUUUGCUUACAGCAAAUGCAGACACUGUGAAUGCACUUUUGAAGAUGUGCAGACCAUUUUUGAGGAACAUGGAUUUGUGGAAAGGACUUUGGAAAAUCAUAUCAGGCAGUGCAAUGAAAUAGAAAAAGCAAGCACAGACUCACUGAAAGCAUCCCUUAAAACCACGUAUGGGAUUAAGAGGAGAAGUUGUUUAAUUGAUAUUCCUGCAUUUGACCUAAUUAAGCAAACUCCACAGGACAUCAUGCAUGUUGUUUUCGAAGGUGUCGCUCCUAUGGAGAUUAAGCUGGUAUUAAAACACCUUAUUCUGUCAGGGGAGUUGGAAUUAGAUCAUUUCAAUUCAGCCAUUAAGAAUUUUCCAUUUUCGCCUAUUGACAUACGAGACAAACCUUGUCCUAUUACUUUGAGCACUCUAGCAGCUAAUGACAACAGACUGAAACAGUCUUGUGGGCAAAUGUUAAUACUUUUAAAAAUCUUGCCCUUUCUUUUGGAUGGUGUGGACAAUGAAUGUACUCAAUUCAUUAUCAAGUUAAUUCAAAUUGUUCAGCUUGUUCUAGCCCCAACAAUUUCUUUAAAAACUGUAUUACGGCUUAAAGAAAUGAUUACACAACACCUGUAUCAGUUCAAGCAGCUUUUUCCUGAAAGCAACAUAAUACCCAAGCAGCAUUACUUGUUACACCUUCCUAGUCAAAUAGCAUCUCUUGGUCCAUUAAUAAGAACCAUGUGCAUGCGAUUUGAGGCUAAACACCACUAUUUUAAACAGUGGGCUUCAAAGCUGAAUUUUAGAAAUGUUUGUAAAUCCCUAGUCAAUCACAACCAGUUUCUUGAAUCUUGUCAAAAUGAAAUGGGUAUUGA